ensembl:lncRNA
GGAAAAAAAAAAAAAAAAAAAAACAGCAAAAAUCACCCUGAGGAAGACAAACACAUUUUGCUUCACUUUACAGUGAAAAAAAUUCUAGCAAAAAAAGAAGUUGAAAUAUUCAAACGGCCUCUAUGUUUUUAUCCGGAUCCCUGUACUACCAGCUGUGAAUCUGAUUCAUGUUCUCAAAGUGUCAGAGUCUCACUCUUCUGGCAGGAGUCCCCAUUUAAAACAGUAGCAGCCAAAAAGCUCCCUGCAAGUCCAAAAAAGUGUGUGUGAAAUUAUGCAGAGGGAUAUACCCUUUUCUUCUAAAAUGUUGGAAGAAAAUAUUGGCAAAACUUGAGUUGGGAAAUUGAUAAUUAAAACACAGAUAUGAGAAAACUGGGGAGAAUACAAACUAUAGAAUGGUUUAUAUUGGGUUUUUUUUUCACAUAUUUUCCUUUUAUAACAAGCUUGGGUGAAACUACACAGAGUUAAAAAAAAAUCGUCUAAACAUAAUUAAAUGUGCCUGAUGGAGCUCCAUAUACUUGUAUGUUUUACAAGUACAUAUAUAUGACUUGCUUUAUAGCUAUAUUUUUAUGUUAUCAAGUCAUGAUCACCUUGACUAGGAGAUAAAUAACAAUAUGUAUUAUUAUCAAUGAAACACCAUUAUUAAUCCCUUACAAGAGACUCAAGUAAGUUUAUAGUAAUUUUUUGCCAGGAUGCUGGAAGGUUUGACAGGGAAUGAAGUCUGAUUGUGGAUUGCUGAAUGUUUUAAUGGUUUCCUAUAACGGUUUCUUAUAAAUUGCAUUUAUAAGAGUACACCGUGUAAUAAGCUGACACCAUCAUAUCAGCUCUGAAUUCUCCUCAAUGGAAAGAAGAAUUUAUUAUCAACUCUUUUUAUGUCUUUAGCUAUAAUAAAUCUCUAGUAUCAUCUCUCUACUCAUUUAAUUAUUUAGAGCCAGAUCCUUAACCCACUGAGUGAGGCCAGGGAUGGAACCUGUGUCCUCAUGGAUGCUAUUCAGAUUCAUUUCUGCUGAGCCAUGAUGGGAACUCCCUAUUGAAUUUUUUUAAAUGUCCUAAACCAAUAUCUGUAAGUUACUCCCAUUUGCUCGCGACAUUUGAACAAAUUGAGGUCUUGCUCUGCUUCUUGAGCAGGUGAAGGGCUAAAGGGCGGUGAAGGUUCUGAAGAGAUUUAAAAAAUGAUGACUGUAAUUACCUGGGACACUAAGGGUUCAAAUACCAACUGUUUUUCCAGCAUCUGCCUGUAAAUGGGUCACAUUAUCAGGCUUCACAGAGCACCCUGAAUGACCAAACUGCCAAAUCAUUAUCUUUGGAAAUCACUUAAAUGACCACACAGGAAAUCCUAUUUAUCUUAAACAACGCCAUGCAGAGAAACACAACUUAAUACAACUCAUGGAUAUUUCUUAAAUAUUUGAUCCAUAUGACCCUCGAAUCUUUCAGCCUCUCUGUCUAAUGUGAGGUGGGCAAAUAAAUGGCUUUUUUUUUUUUUAAAUGACAUAUGCCAAAGUGCAGAAUUUUACUCCAAUUGCAUUAUUGAAAUAAGGAACUCGUUUUAGUUAUCUAUUAGUGUGAUUUUGGAUGUAUCAGUCAAGACCAUCAUGGGAGGCAGGACAUACACUCCGCUGCAAAUUUCGGAGAGUGUGAGGCAGGGAAUUUUACAGAAGCCAACAAAGGGCGUUGAGAAUCAGAUGGGAAAACUGGGGGGCUUUUGCUGCCCUCAGGCUGAAGUGCUGAGAGGAGGAAGCUGUUAAGAGAGCUCUCAGUGAGCUGAAGUAGAGGAGAGAAAUUCUCAUCCAACAGGAAUGGUCCUUGGAGGGAGUUCCUACUGUGGGUGCUGUGGGUUAAGAAUCCAAAUGCAGCGGCUCUGGUGCUUCCUACAGGAGGCUCUGGUUUGAUCCCUAGCUGGCUAAGGAUCUGGCAUUAAAGGAUCCAGCAUUGACACAGCUGUGACAUACAUCGAAGCUACAUCCCUGGCCCAGGAACUUCCACAUGCUGCAAGUGUGGCCACUUAAAAAAAUAAAAAAUAAAAAGAAUAGUGCCCCUGGGAGGCAUGUGGCACCGCAGCAGAGAGGAAGCUGGGAAAGUACCAGCCUCUCUGUCCUCUGCUUCAGUCUCUUAUCCUCCUAAGGUCAAAGCCAACCCAAGUGGGAGGUCAGGGUCAGGCUCCCUGAGCGAGGGAGGUCCAAGGAGUAGACCCUUCCCCCACCCCCCACUCCCAAGUCCCAAGCAGAGCAAAGUGGAAAAUGGUCCUGGGUCCCUAACAAGGAAUAAUCAGCAUGACGCAAAUGAACCUACCCACAAAAAGGAAGACAACUCAAAGACACAGAGAACAGACUUGUGGUUGCCAAGGUGGGAGGGGAAAGGAGUGGGAUGGAAUAGGAAUUCGGGGUUGGUAGUUAGCAGUAAACUAUUGCUUUUAGAGCGGAUAAGCAAUGAGGUCCUGCUGAAUAGCACAGAGAACUAUAUCCAAUCUCUUCGGACAAACCAUCAUGGAAGAUUGUAUAAAAAAAAGAAUGUAUGUAUAUAAAGAGGUUCACUUUGCUUACAGCAGAAAUUUGCACAACAUUGUAAGUCAAUUAUACUUUAAUAAAAAAUAAAUACAUUCACAUUUUUUAAAAUUAGCAUGAGUUUUGAGGUUCCCUUUGUGGAAAUCCGUGGGUAAACACAUUCAAAAGAGUAGUUGGCAAUAGAAUCAUGUAUCCUUUAGGAAGACCUGUACUCGCAUUACUUGUUUCAGGGAUACAUAUUUCAGCUCGUUCUAUAUUAUUUGCAUAGCAGGAACAAGUGAAGGGAAGACUAUUGCCAAUAAAGAUGAUCAUUUAUUGGCAAUCGUCUCACCACAUCCAUCAGGCAGCAACCACUUCAGUGACUGCCAACUGCAGAUGUCAAGCAGAAGAAAUGCUAGGAACUCAAAAGAGAGUGAAACCAAAAUGCAACCACUGCCACUAGCACAUUUGCUUAUUUUCCUCUUUCUUCUCCAUUUUGAUGUGUGCCUCUUCUUUCUUGCCAAGUUGCAGGCAAUUCCUGAAAGCAUAGAAGGAUCAUUCUAUUAAUUUGGAGGAAAUCAGCUCCUUCUGUACACAAGGCAGCCAUUGACGGACAGUCCUGAAGUCCAAUUUUCUGAGUCAUCAUCUCAUGCCAGACUUAGCGUUAUAUUCAGGUUUUUUUUCUCUUUUCCAUUCAAGUCGGACUUCUCUUUGAAGUUGUGCGCCUUCGGUUUUAAUUUGCAAUAGAUCUUCACUUUGAAGCAGAUGAAAUACUUUGAUACUGAGGGAUGUCUCACCAUUGGUGGUUGGGAGUUAUUUUCACAUAUUUAUCAAUUAGAAUGGUGGAAUUCUCCCUGUAAGAUGGGAAGAAACAUAAAAUAUUAUUCAGGGACUUAGAUUUAUUGAACACCUAUUACAUGCCAUAAUCUUUUCAUCUUUCUCUUGGUUCGGUUUACUUCAUUUUAUUUCAGAAAGAAGUUUGGAAUAAUUUUUGCUGCCAGGUCAUGAUUUUUACCAUAGCUCCAUGCUGUAGAUGCUGUUCAUUUCAUUUUACAGCUGAGGAAAGAUGAUCCAGAGAGCUUAAAUAACUUUGUAAAACUAUGAAAUGCCGCAAAGGCCUAAGGUCAACCUGGCUGUCUCCCCAGGAAAAAUGAGAUGAUCUACUAAUGUUAAACCGAGUACCAAGAAAAUAACAAAAUACACCUCACACCACCAAGUGAAGGCUUUCUGAUCACACCCGCUUUAGUUCACAUUCUCCCGAAGCAGAUUCACUCAAGGAAUUUUGGAUCUGCUGCAGACAGGCCCUAGCUGGUCCUGUGUACUGAAUCUGGGAAAUAAAGGCCCCAGCUUUCACCAGUUUAUGCCAUAUGCUCAUUUCCAAUGUUUUAUGGAUAAAGAACCUACACACAAGGCAUGGCCCAGGUCAGAAGCACAUUGAGUAAACAUGUCAGAAUUAUUUUCUAGGACCAUGUCACUUAAAAUGGUUACUCUGACAUUUUCUUAUUUAUUUUGCUUUUUAGGGUCACACCCGGGGCAUGUGGAGAUUCCCAGGCUAGGGGUCAAACCGGAGCUACAGCUAGCUUCCAGCCUACACCACAGCAACAUCAGAUCCAAGCUGCAUCUACAAUCUACACCACAGCUCACAGCAAGGCCAGAUCCUUAACCCACUGAGCAAGGCCUGGGAUCGAACCAGCAGCUUCAUGGCUCCUAAUUGGAUUCACUUCCACUGUGCCACAGCAGGAAGUCCCUACUCUGAAAUUUUCAAAGACAUUUAUCCUCUUUAAAAAUACCAUAGCUCUUCGAUUCUCAGGUACUGGAUGAUGACCCCAUCAAUUUAAUAACAAGCAGAAACGAAUCCGACUAGGAACCACGAGGUUGCGGGUUCGAUCACUGGCCUCGCUCAGUGGGUUAAGGAUCCGGUGUUGCCGUGAGCUGUGGUGUAGGUCGCAGACGGGGCUUGUAUCUGGCGUGGCUGUGGCUGUGGCAUAGGCUGGCAGCUGUAGCUCCGAUUCAACCCCUACCCUGGGAACCUCCA